CAGCAGCGAGGUGAGUGUAGAGAGCUUUGUAGAGACAACAGCCGUGGAGACUUUCGUUUGCCAAACGCAUAACGCAUGCGUCGAAUUGCAUCUCCAGUUGCUGCUUUUGUUUCUCCACUGUGGGUGGCGGGUCUGAGGCCCGGAAAUUACCGGACGGCGGUGUUUCGUAUUUUUGGGUGUGGAUUGCAACAAACUGCAGCCAACCCCCUGAUGAGGAGUUGUCGCCUUGGGGGAGGCUACGGUGUGAAAUUUAUAUAUGUAUGAAAUCAAUGAGCUGACAACGCGUCUCUUUAAGAAGUAAAGUUAGUUAAUGCUGCUUUCUUUUGCAGCGGUCAUAAAUCAAAUUGAUUAUUGUAUUUGGUUACGAGAGCAAAUCGAUGCGAUUGAACAGCAUCCAACUGACGAUGCGACAUAUGAAACUAUUAUGAAAGUGGGAGAAAAGUUGUGCAACUCUCGGCAUUGCGGAAGUGCUUUAGGCCAAGUGCAAUUAACCUAGAAUUCUUAUGCGUCAUUGGGCAGAUUUCUUUCUGUGAAAACUAUUUCGCCAAAAACGUUGACCCAAAUCUGUCAGCUAAAUUUCGCAUUUUGAUGUGAUACAUUUGGGAUACAUUUUCGUAUAAACACAAUAUUCAUGACCUGAUUUAGCGAGUAGAACAUAUGAAGUUCAAAGAGAGCACAGAGAAAAGAGUAAAGGGAAAUUAAAGGAAGAAGAGAUCGAAUGGAUUCUAUGUGGAUCAAGAGUGCACGCUCUGCAAUGUGGAAUCUGACAACGCAGUUUUCCCGUUGCAUCGCACAUUGAUCACGCUGAACUAAACAAAGACAAAAACCUCACAGAAUAUACUUGUAUAUAAGCAUGUGUCUACAACAAUUGUUAAGUAUUAUUCACACUUUGUUUACAGCGUGUCGCCUUAGGGAACUUUCACAAAUUCGUUACGCCUCGUAAAUACACUCAAUUUGGAUCAGUUUUUAUAGCACUUUUUUCCACUACACCAGCAUAUGCUGCUUAUACACACUUAUAAAGUGUAUGCAAUUGUUUGUUCGUAUGUGUGUAAUUAACUACUCGACGAUAUGAAGUCUAUAUUUAUGCAUAAGCACUUGAUUGCCAUUUGAUAGACAUGUGGCCACUGACUGACUGACUGCCAAGGCAGGCGAUAAACUCAAAGCAAAGGCGCUGAUAAGUGCCAGCUUAGUUAGUCUGAGCUAAGCGACAGCAUUGAAAAGAGCGUAGGAAGAGAGAAAGGGAAGCCAAAGCAAAGGGCGCAUCAGUGAUGCCAACUUUACAAACAGCAGUAGCAAAAAACAGAUAAGGAUUACAAAAUAAAUACAAAAAGUGGAAGCGCAUUGUAAUUAUGAAACACUGAUGCUGACAGCAAUCACACACUCUCACACACACACGCAUAUACAUACACACGUACGAUGCAUAGGGCAAAAGCAGAGACAGCGAAAAGCAACUGGUAGAAGACGUGAAAUCAGUAUCGUUAUCGAAAGAAAUGCUGCCUCCAGCUGGGUCGAUGACAAGCACUCGCACACACACUGAGACAAAGCAAAGUCAAUGCCAAUAGGAAAAGGAGAGGAAGCAAAAUCAAAUACUUAGCAUGUACUUGUAAUAAAAAUAGCAAAAAAACAAAGCAACGGCAUCUUCAUUGGCGACUGCAGCUGCAGUAGAGCACAUUACUAAUUGGAAAAUUUUCACCGCCUCAAAAAUGAAGGCGCAAUUGAAAGAGUAGGAGAAAGGAGAGAAUGAGGAGCAAAACGAUAUUAAAAUGAUUUUGCGCAGUGAAGCGGCACCCCAACGGCCCGUCUUCCCCCUUUUUUGCGACCACUUCUCAGCGGGCAAGCAGACAAUUGGAUUAUGCAGACGAAAGGCUUAAAUUAAUGGAGGGCACUAAAAUCCAAUCCGAAAUAGUAGUAGCAAGCAACAAUAGAGCGAGACAGCCGCAACCGCUUGGCUCGCCGUCAGUCUACUUUGCUUUAUUUUAUUUAUUUUUGUUAUAUUUGUUUUGCCCAUAAUUGCUUUAAUGGACACACGCUAGAAUGUACACACACACAUGCUAGCACUACAAAGAGUUGCAGACUAAAACAAAAAAUAUAACAAAACCAAACAGAAAAAUUAUGAAUUUUGAACACAACUCGCAGCUGAUUCAUAAGAUGAAAAUAAUUGCGACAUUCAGUUUUCACAAAUAUAAAACAAAAAAUAGUUGCUUAUUGACUAAUUCGAUAGAUCGAGAGAGAGGUCGUGACUCACGCGUCAAAUCGAUGACGAUUGCCUUCCCAGCUUCCCCUUCUUCGAUCAGUCAAAAGCUCUCAAUAAGAGGGUGGGAGAAGGGGGGAUGGAGGUAGGAAAGGCAUGCAAGAAUUGCCAAUACCCAUUGCAAAUAUGUACAUUACGUUUGUUUGGCAUGUACAUUAAAUAAAAUUUAAGUAUGAAAUUAUUUUUGCCUCAAACUGGAUGCCGAUGACAUCAUGUGGAGAGGCAAAACACGCAAAACAAAAAGAGAAAGAGAAGAGAGCGGGUAAGCGGCUUGUGUUUACUGCUACUCAAAACAAAAAAAAAGGCAAUGACUAAGUAACGUAACAACAACAACAAACUAAGCUCAGUAACAGAGUGACCAGAGCAGCUGAUGAUGACGUUGAUGUUGAUGCAAGGUGCGGCAUUUAAGAGAGGAUAAAUCGAAACAAUAAUAAAACAAUGACAACUAGUCAGAUACAAAAAACAAAUUAGGUACAAAUGAUAAGACAGUUACAUUAUAUGCUAAAUACGCUUGCAGCGUGCCUGGUUUGCCGGCAAUCUCGUUGAUAAUCUAAUCAGUCAUCAGCUGCAAGAGCAUUCGAAUCUAAUUAGACAAUUACAAGACUACUGAACUAGAAUAUCGUUCGAAUUAGACAUGUGCUGCAAGCGUAUUGGAAAUGUGAACAAAGUUUAAGCUUUUGUAAGUCUCCACUCACCCAGUCCAUAUUUGUAGAAGAUUUCCUCGACGGACACAAUCUUUGGUUGUUGUUGUUGUGGUGGUGUUGCUGCCUUCGGCUUGGGCGGCUCCACUUUGGGCACGGACUUGACUGGCUCGACUUUGGGUUCCACUUUGGCUGCCACUGGAGAUGGAAUCGGAACGGUUGGCUUAGCGACAACCUCGUCAUCAUCCAGAUCGGUGAUUAGCGCUGCCGCCUUCGCUACUGUCACUGCCACUGGAGGCGUGGCAAUGCGUGGCUCCUCCUUGAAAUCGCUUAACAAAUCCUCCGAAGAAAUAAACUUGUCAUUGUCUUGCUCCUUGAGGGCAUCGGUAAUGGGUUUCUUGGCCGGCGAAGUUGUAUAAGAGACGGAAGGCGAGUCUGUGUCCGAGUCCUUGUUGGCUGCAGCAACAGCAGCUGCCACAGGCACAGAGACUGGAGCAGGCACAGCAGCGGAAGCACUCGCAGCAGGUUUGCUCAACAAAUCAUCACUAUCAUUAUCUUCAACAACAUCAUCAUCAUCGUCGUCAUCGUAGAAAUUGGUUUUAGCAGGCGCUGUGGGCUCAAAAGGCUGCAGCGGCGUAGCGGAAGUUGGCUGACUGAAGCUGCCCAGCAAAUCCUGCUGCUGCGGUUCCGGAACUGCAGCCGGCACUGGAACUGCAGCUACAACUGGAGUUGGAGCCAGAACCGGAGCGGGAACUGCAGCUGGAAUUGGAUCUACAGCUGGAGUUGGAACUGCAGCUGGAACUGGAGCAGCUGUUGGAGCUGGAACUGGAGCUGCUGCCGAAUCGCCAAAGUAGCCACGCUCCAUGUUCAUAAAGUCAGUGGUCAGAUCGCUGAUGCCUUGCUUGGUGCUUUUGCCUGCCUGCGAGAGGAAAUCACUGAAAUCAUCCACUGUGCUUUGCUGGGCAGCGGCAAACUUGGCGUCCAGCUGCUCUUGGGCUUCCUUGGCGCCAGCGGACAUACGUUGCACAAAUGCUUGCGGGUCACCGAGACCGAAGUCCACGUUCUUCUGCUC